rnacentral:rRNA from 1 species
GAUGAACGCUAGCGGCAGGCUUAACACAUGCAAGUCGAGGGGCAGCGUGGAGCAGCAAUGCUCUGACGGCGACCGGCGGAAGGGUGCGUAACACGUGAGCGACUUGCCCGUCACAGGGGGAUAACCGGCGGAAACGGCGACUAAUACCCCAUAUGAUGCGAUGCUGCAUGGCAUUGCAUUGAAAGAUUCAUCGGUGGCGGAUAGGCUCGCGGGACAUUAGCUAGACGGCGGGGCAACGGCCCACCGUGGCGACGAUGUCUAGGGGUUCUGAGAGGAAGGCCCCCCANACUGGGACUGAGACACGGCCCAGACUCCUACGGGAGGCAGCAGUGAGGAAUAUGGUCAAUGGGCGGAAGCCUGAACCAGCCAUGCCGCGUGAAGGCUAAGGCCCUAGGGUCGUAAACUUCUUUAGACGCAGAGCAAUAAGGUCCAGCGUGGACCGAUGAGAGUAUGCGUAG